rnacentral:tRNA from 1 species
GCCUAGCUGGUUCAGUUGGUGGAACAUGAGACUCUUGAUCUUGGGGUUUUAAGUUUGAGCCCCAAGCUAAGUG